CCCUCCCGGCAGCGCCCGCUCCGGUAGUCCGAGCCCGACCGCCGGAGGACGCAGGUUCAACUCCCGCUCCUCGGGGGCGGCACGCCGGAAGCACUCGUAACAAUUGACGCAUAUUCCCGGCUCGCAGCCUUCACAUCUCGUGCAGGCAUUCUGGUCCUUCACCCUUACCUCGGUGGGCGCGAAUUUGCCUAGCAGGCCAAAAAACACGGAGAACGCCUCCCCGUGGCGCAGCCAGGACUCCUUGCCGAAGAAGGCCAUACCGUAGAAGGUGAU
rnacentral:misc_RNA from 1 species